rnacentral:rRNA from 1 species
CCCUUCGGGGUGAAGCCGGUGGAAUGAGCGGCGGACGGGUGAGUAACACGUGGGCAACCUACCUUGUAGACUGGGAUAACUCCGGGAAACCGGGGCUAAUACCGGAUGAUCAUUUGGAUCGCAUGAUCCGAAUGUAAAAGUGGGGAUUUAUCCUCACACUGCAAGAUGGGCCCGCGGCGCAUUAGCUAGUUGGUAAGGUAAUGGCUUACCAAGGCGACGAUGCGUAGCCGACCUGAGAGGGUGAUCGGCCACACUGGAACUGAGACACGGUCCAGACUCCUACGGGAGGCAGCAGUAGGGAAUCAUCCGCAAUGGGCGAAAGCCUGACGGUGCAACGCCGCGUGAACGAUGAAGGUUUUCGGAUCGUAAAGUUCUGUUAUGAGGGAAGAACAAGUGCCGUUCGAAUAGGUCGGCACCUUGACGGUACCUCACGAGAAAGCCCCGGCUAACUACGUGCCAGCAGCCGCGGUAAUACGUAGGGGGCAAGCGUUGUCCGGAAUUAUUGGGCGUAAAGCGCGCGCAGGCGGUCUCUUAAGUCUGAUGUGAAAGCCCACGGCUCAACCGUGGAGGGUCAUUGGAAACUGGGGGACUUGAGUGUAGGAGAGGAAAGUGGAAUUCCACGUGUAGCGGUGAAAUGCGUAGAUAUGUGGAGGAACACCAGUGGCGAAGGCGACUUUCUGGCCUACAACUGACGCUGAGGCGCGAAAGCGUGGGGAGCAAACAGGAUUAGAUACCCUGGUAGUCCACGCCGUAAACGAUGAGUGCUAGGUGUUAGGGGUUUCGAUACCCUUAGUGCCGAAGUUAACACAUUAAGCACUCCGCCUGGGGAGUACGGCCGCAAGGCUGAAACUCAAAGGAAUUGACGGGGGCCCGCACAAGCAGUGGAGCAUGUGGUUUAAUUCGAAGCAACGCG